rnacentral:tRNA from 1 species
GGAGAGGUGGCCGAGCGGUUUAAGGCAGCGGCCUGCUAAGCCGUUGUAGGCGUUAGUCUACCGUGGGUUCGAAUCCCACCCUCUCCGCAA